UACAGGGGGGGCAAGCGUUGUUCGGAAUUACUGGGCGUAAAGGGCUUGUAGGUGGCCAACUAAGUCAAACGUGAAAUCCCUCAGCUUAACUGGGGAACUGCGUCUGAUACUGGAUGGCUUGAGUGCAGGAGAGGAACGCGGAAUUCCAGGUGUAGCGGUGAAAUGCGUAGAUAUCUGGAGGAACACCGGUGGCGAAGGCGGCGUUCUGGACUGCAACUGACACUGAGGAACGAAAGCCAGGGGAGCAAACGGG
rnacentral:rRNA from 1 species